GCAGUCAGCAAAGACAAGAGUACUGAAAGCUGGCUGCCCUCUUCACAGUUGAAUACCAGGGCUUAAGGUGGGAAUUCCUGGCAGCUCCACCCCAUCCUUCCAGUGGGCAUGCAGGCCCUUAGACCGAACUGCUCCGUAUUGAUUUAUUUUCCCUACUGCGCAUGUGCUAAGGAACGGAAUUUUCCACUGCCAGCAUGUUUAGAGGCUAUAUACAUAACUGACGACUGGUCAUAAGAAGUACGAAGCCCAUUCCUUUGCCCUAGGUGUCGCCAUCUUUGAAAGGCCAUUCUGCUGGAGAACUUGCUGUGGGAUUGGUUGCACAGGGAAGUGUUCAGCUCCACUCUCUGUCCAUCCUGCUAUCUUCAGUUCCUCACAACCAUUAUUCCUGAGAAUUUUCCCAAAUAAACCGCCAGCAUGCAAACACAUCUGCCUAGUGGAGAACCAAAUUACAAGAGAAGGAAGACAAUGUGUGGAAGGUAUACUCCUAUUUCUUAAAAUGCCUUGCCUAGAAGCCAUGCAUACCACUUUCAUUCAUCUUGUAAUAGCUAGAACUAAUCUCAUGACUACAUAUAGAUGCAAGACUACUGGGAUAUAUAUUGUUCCCCUGGAACACUGCUACAAGAGAAAAGGAAAACACAAAUCAAUGUCAUGGUGGAUAUGCAUCUUAGCUGUGGUUGCCAUAACAACAUACAAUAGACGUGACUUACACAAUACACAGUUAUUUCCCACAGUUCUGUAUGCUGAAAAUGUGAGAUUAGAGUGGCAGCAUAAUCAGGUUCUAAUGAGGACCCUCUUCCUGGCUUACAGAAGGCUGGAUUCUUGGUGUAUCCUCAUAUGGUUGAGAGAGCAGACUCUACUAUCUUCUCCUCCUCUUAUGAGUACUCUAAUCCCUUCAAGGGGGCUCUGACUUCAUGAUCUCAUCUAAACCUCAUUAGCUUCCAAAGACUCUACCUUCUCAUAUCAUCACAUUGGGGGUUAGAGCUUCAAUGUAUGAAUUUUGGAGAGACACAAACAUUUGGUUCAUAACAAUAUGUGAAGGGCUACUUUCAGAAAAUGGGAGAGUUAGAAUGAAAGUGGGUUUAAAUUGCUAUAAUGCUUCAAGUACAACAAUGAGAUUUCCUUUUUACUUAUGCUUACAUUUAAUCUGGGUAUGGGAAAAAAUCGAC
rnacentral:lncRNA from 1 species